rnacentral:rRNA from 1 species
UACCGCAUACGUCCUGAGGGAGAAAGCGGGGGACCGUAAGGCCUCGCGCGAUUGGAGCGGCCGAUGUCGGAUUAGCUAGUUGGUAGGGUAAAGGCCUACCAAGGCGACGAUCCGUAGCGGGUCUGAGAGGAUGAUCCGCCACACUGGGACUGAGACACGGCCCAGACUCCUACGGGAGGCAGCAGUGGGGAAUUUUGGACAAUGGGCGAAAGCCUGAUCCAGCCAUGCCGCGUGAGUGAAGAAGGCCUUCGGGUUGUAAAGCUCUUUCAGCCGGAAAGAAAUCGCGCAGGAUAAUACUCUGCGUGGAUGACGGUACCGGAAGAAGAAGCACCGGCUAACUACGUG